rnacentral:lncRNA from 1 species
AGCCUCCCAAAGUGCUGGGAUUACAGGCAUGGGCCACUGCACCCAGAUCUAGGAGCUGCAUUUUAAUAAGGGGCCUCGGGUGAUCUGUGCACAUAAUAAGAAUCCCAGAGUUCUGCUCUAGCCUAUCUGGAAUGAUACUCAGGCGAAGGGAGGCAGAAUCCGUGGAAGUUGAGAAGUGUACGCAGAAGCCUGCAUUCCAGCAGCUUCAUGGCCUAAUUCCCUGAUCCUCCAACCAGGAGGCCUCCCCAGGCCUGAAAGAAGUGUUUGUAAAGGUCAACUCCCUUAGAUCUUUUAAAUUCCAAGAACAAAAGAUAAAAGAAGCUCUACCAAAAUACAAACAACAAGCAACAACAACAACAAUCUUCCUACCUUGAUGUGUACGUCUGUAAUUGUGGUGUUAAAGUUGUGUAGGGAAAAAGGGAGAAAGCUUCAUUUGUCUUCCUCCAGCUUGAGUUGAUAGUUGGUGAUUGGACUAAUGGUCCCAUGUACUGUUGUAACUUCAGGAACCGCCGUGAAGCAAGGAUUCAUCAAAGAGGGGAAGCGAGAGGAUUUUGUUUGCUUAUUUAAUAAAAAAAAUUAAAAAAAUAGAGAUUUCCUUUAGCUUGGAGGUAUGGUUUAAUUAGAAUGGUUUUCUCCUGGGUUUUUGUGCCCUCAUUCUCCACCUCUCCUCCAUAAAGCCUGCCUGAGAAAUGCCUUCUUAAAUAUGAACAAAAUCAUCCUAAUUAUUUAAUCUACUCUUAUGGAACACAGCACGUGGAAGAAUGCGCCCUCAGUUUGACCUUCUGUGGUAGAGGAAAAGAGAGAAAGUCUA